UCGUGGAUUGAUUUGUCUGGUUAAUUCCGAUAACGAACGAGACCUUAACCUACUAGUUAGUCUUGCAUGGGAUUUUUCUCAUGUGCUAUAAGGCUUCUUAGAGGGACAGCUGGCUUUUAGCCAGAGGAAGUAUGAGGCAAUAACA
rnacentral:rRNA from 1 species